rnacentral:rRNA from 1 species
AUUGGACGCUGGCGGCAUGCUUUACACAUGCAAGUCGAACGGUAACAGGUUAAGCUGACGAGUGGCGAACGGGUGAGUAAUAUAUCGGAACGUGCCCAGUAGUGGGGGAUAGCCCGGAGAAAGCCGGAUUAAUACCGCAUACGACCUACGGGUGAAAGGGGGGGAUCGCAAGACCUCUCGCUAUUGGAGCGGCCGAUAUCAGAUUAGCUAGUUGGUAGGGUAAAAGCCUACCAAGGCAACGAUCUGUAGCUGGUCUGAGAGGACGACCAGCCACACUGGGACUGAGACACGGCCCAGACUCCUACGGGAGGCAGCAGUGGGGAAUUUUGGACAAUGGGCGCAAGCCUGAUCCAGCCAUGCCGCGUGUGGGAAGAAGGCCUUCGGGUUGUAAACCACUUUUGUCAGGGAAGAAACGCUCUGGAUUAAUACUCUGGGGUAAUGACGGUACCUGAAGAAUAAGCACCGGCUAACUACGUGCCAGCCGCCGCAGUAA